AAUUCUAGAGCUAAUACAUGCCACUAUGCCCUGACCCGCAAGGGAACGGGUGGAUUUAUUAGAACAGAACCAACCGUCGGUGGCUUCGGUCACUGGCGUUGCAUUCUGUGAUGACUCUGGAUAACUUUACUGAUCGCAGUCGGCCUUGUGUCGGCGACGGAUCUUUCAAAUGUCUGCCCUAUCAAUUUUCGAUGGUAGGUGACCUGCCUACCAUGGUGAUAACGGGUAACGGGGAAUCAGGGUUCGAUUCCGGAGAGGGAGCCUGAGAAACGGCUACCACUUCCAAGGAAGGCAGCAGGCGCGCAAAUUACCCAAUCCCGGCACGGGGAGGUAGUGACGAAAAAUACGGAUACGGGACUCAUUAGAGGCUCCGUAAUUCGAAUGAGUACAAUUUAAAUCCUUUAACGAGGAUCAACUGGAGGGCAAGUCUGGUGCCAGCAGCCGCGGUAACUCCAGCUCCAGAAGCGUAUAUUAAAGUUGUUGCAGUUAAAAAGCUCGUAGUUGGAUCUGGGUCGCAUGGCUACAUGCCGUUGCUCGUAUUCCUGGCCUGGUUCACACCGGGACGGGUUUGUGAGUCGGUGUCGUGGUUGUGCAGCCUUUCUGCCGUGUCUGUUUCGACAGGUGUUGGCAUGAUUGGUGGGUUCGUCCUGCUGAUCUGUUGACAUGCUUCCAGGUGCCCUUAACCGGGUGUCGGGGGCGGACGGCACGUUUACUUUGAACAAAUUUG
rnacentral:rRNA from 1 species